UACGAGAGCCUCGAGCGUUAUCCGGAAUUAUUGGGCGUAAAGGGUGCGUAGCUCGUCUCGUAAGUCUUUGGUGAAAUCGGGCCUCUUAAGGGUCCGGCGUGCCUUAGGUACUGCGGGACUAGAGACCGGGAGGCGCAGGAAGUACGUACAGGGUACCGGUAAAAUGGGUUGAUCCUGUAUGGACUAACAGUCGCGAAGGCGUCCUGCGAGAACGGUUCUGACAGUGAGGGAUGAAGGCUAGGGGCGCAAGUGG
rnacentral:rRNA from 1 species